rnacentral:rRNA from 1 species
GACGAACCGUGCGAACGUUGUUCGGAAUCACUGGGCUUAAAGGGCGCGUAGGCGGGCCGCAAAGUCAGGGGUGAAAGCCUCCAGCUCAACUGGAGAAGUGCCUCUGAUACUGGCGGCCUCGAGGGAGAUAGGGGCGUGCGGAACUUCCGGUGGAGCGGUGAAAUGCGUGAGAUAUCGGAAGGAACACCGGUGGCAAAAGCGGCGCGCUGGAUCUCUUCUGACGCUGAGGCGCGAAAGCCAGGGGAGCGAACGGG